rnacentral:tRNA from 1 species
AAGCUCACCUUGCCCUUCCGCUAAUCCGUCAAUUGGUUUUAAAUUAAAUUCACCGCCAGGAAUGGGACGACCGAUA